rnacentral:rRNA from 1 species
GAUGAACGCUGGCGGCGUGCCUAAUACAUGCAAGUCGAGCGAACAGAUGAGGAGCUUGCUCCUCUGACGUUAGCGGCGGACGGGUGAGUAACACGUGGAUAACCUACCUAUAAGACUGGGAUAACUUCGGGAAACCGGAGCUAAUACCGGAUAAUAUAUUGAACCGCAUGGUUCAAUAGUGAAAGACGGUUUUGCUGUCACGUAUAGAUGGAUCCGCGCCGCAUUAGCUAGUUGGUAAGGUAACGGCUUACCAAGGCAACGAUGCGUAGCCGACCUGAGAGAGUGAUCGGCCACACUGGAACUGAGACACGGUCAAGACUCCUACGGGAGGCAGCAGUAGGGAAUCUUCCGCAAUGGGCGAAAGCCUGACGGAGCAACGCCGCGUGAGUGAUGAAGGUCUUCGGAUCGUAAAACUCUGUUAUUAGGGAAGAACAAAUGUGUAAGUAACUAUGCACGUCUUGACGGUACCUAAUCAGAAAGCCACGGCUAACUACGUG